CUUCGGCUGCUCGGGGGCCAGUGCCCUAUGCCGCGUUCUCUUGUGAUCCCUGACCUAACCCGUCUCUUCCUUUUCCCCAACCUCAGGUGGAGCCACCACCAAAAUGCAGAUUUUCAUGAAAACCCUUACGGGAAGACCAUCACCCUCGAUGUUGAACCCUCGGAUACGAUAGAAAAUGUAAAGGCCGAGAUCCAGGAUAAGGAAGGAAUUCCUCCUGCUCAGCAAAGAGGGAUCUUUGCUGGCAAGCAACUGGAAGAUGCAUGGACUUUGUCUGACUACAAUAUUCAAAAGGAGUCUACUCUUCAUCUUGUGUUGAGACUUCGUGGUGGUGCUAAGAAAAGGAAGACGAAGUCUUACACCACUCCCAAGAAGAAUAAGCACAGGAGAAAGAAGGUUAAGCUGGCUGUCCUGAAAUAUUAUCAGGUGGAUGAGAAUGGCAAAAUUAGUCGCCUUCAUCAAGAGUGCCCGUCUGAUGAAUGUGGUGCUGGGGUGUUUGUGGCAAGCCACUUUGACAGACAUUAUUGUGGCAAACGUCUGACUUAUUGCUUCAACAAGCCAGAAGACAAGUAACU